UGGUCCCAAAAACCAAUAUUUCAUAGGGAGCUAGGUGCGAACCUAUUAAAAAUGAAAUAGCUCCAAAAAGUUCCCUCUCACUCUAAAAUCCCUAAAUCCCUGAGUGGCAACUUUCAUCAAUCAGAAUCCUAAAAUUCAUCUCUCUCAACCCCUCUUGUCUACCAUUGGAAUUAUCAGGCUUAGUAAUCAAGAGUAAGUUAAUUUCUUUCUCUUCUUUUAUAUGAUUCAUGCCCUUCUUCUUCAUCAUCAUUUUUUUUUUGCGAUGGAAACCAAAAAAUUUAUGUUUCUGUUGGUCUUCUGCAAUUAAGUUUCUUAUAGUACUGAUUGUUGUUGUGUGAGGGCUAAAAGUGAGAGUAUUGGGUUUAAAGCUAAGGCUCGGGGGUUAAGGAGGAGAAACUUGAGUAUUUAUUGUAGGAUUUCGUCUACGCGAUUUGCUAUCGAUGUUUGCGUUUAGGAUCUUUAACAGGGAGAAAGAAGAAUGUUGAAUGCAGAUUAAAAGAUGUGUUUGCCUUCUUUUAUUUUGGGAUUCUUCCCAAGUUUUAUACUAUAACAUGAAUCAUUUGAGAAAUGACUUUGUGGGUUGCUUCUAUGAGUGCGUAGUUUUACUUCUAUUAAGUUAUAUGUCUAAGCUGGUUUGUGAUGUUUUCUUCUGUUUUUACCCCAACUCUUACUUUGAUUUUGUAGUUUUCUUAUGUGGGUAUAUUUUAUUCUUCUAUUUUAGUGAAGUUAUAAAAUGUGUCUUUGUGUAAGUCUGUUGUGUUUGGCCAAAACAUUACUUCAGCUUUGAGCAUUAUACUAUAGCCUCGGUUUUGAUUGAAAAUUUCAGUUUUGAUGGAGUGCAAAUUUUGCUUUGUCACUGCACAAAUAAAGCCUAUUAUUUGUUUUUUGUAUAUGCUGAAGAAAAUUAUUAUUCCCGUGUUCUUGUGCAUGCCAGUAGGUUGUUUUAGUUCUCCUUAGUCAUUACAGUUUUUUUUUUUUUUUUUUUAAAUUGUGGAAUAGCUAGUGUAUCAUAUUUUUAUCUAAGAAAACUAAGAUAGAAAAUCAGUGACUUAGCUUUAAACUGAUUUGUGUGUUUUAAUUUCUCAUAUUCUUGAGCAAUUGUGAGUUAUACGUUAUGCAUAUCAGUCAGUAGCUUAUUUCAUUCUUGUGAUAUCGUAGUAAGUUUUAAUAAUAUGGAUGAGUUAUCAAGUUUAAUAAAAAGAAAUAUGCAUCUUAGGACAGAGAUUUAGUUUCAAUGUAAUUAGUUUGAUGUGUAUGAUAAAACUAAAGGAAUUAAAGAAGAUGAAUAUGGCAUUGUAUUUGUGGAGGUGGGAUCUAUCCCCCGGAGUGGUAUUUGUGCUAGUCAAAGUAUGCCACCACUUUCAAACAUUAGGAAAAUAGAUUCUACCAUGUCUGUUCAAGGAAUGCGAGCUGAUAUUCCAAGUUCUCCAUCUACUGAUGAAGUUAUGCAGUACACCCAAACAUUUGAAAUAGGUAUGAUUCUCAAAUUUAUCGUGUUAUUAAUUUGUACAACUAAAUUGUCCUUUAAGUUUCCAUAACCUGGUACACAAAUUGUCCUUUAAGUUUUCAUAACCAGUGCACUUUUGUCUUGGAUUAAUGUUUCCUUGUAGAACUAACAGAGUACUCAAGUGAUCCAUACAAUUGUAGUUUUCUGGUGCAGUUCCUCACCUGAUAUUAUGCUCUAAUAUAUUUUGUUGGUACAGUUUCAUUUGGGACACAAUGUAAGCUUUUGAAAGAUGGACAUUUAUAUAUAUUGUAUGUAUAGGUCAGUUUUGGUACAUGUAAAGGAUAUUGCUGAUGCAGUUUAGGUGAGAAUGCAGUGUUUGUUUUUAAUAGCUGUUCAUUUUUGUCGAGUCUGAAAUACUAUUAAGCUUUGGUCCAUGUUUAGGUACCCAAAUUACUGUUUUUUUGUGCAUAUUCUACUGGAGUGAUGAUGCUAUUUUGAUCUAUGAAUUGGUGCAGUUUUACUCUAUAAAACGGUGCAAUUUUUCUGAUGCUUGGUUCUGCAAGUUCGAGCAUUUUUUUUUUUUUUAGGAUGACUCUAACAGGAUGGAAUUGUUUUCUAGACACAGAUCUCUAAUACUUGGAUAGAAUAUUUUUGUACAGAGGUAUGGCUCCUUAUGAUGUUCUAUUAUUUCAGUAGCAUCAUUCUGAUGGUUCUUAGUUGGCAUUUGGACAACAUUUGGUUGACGUUGAAUAUGCCAGUUACCGCAGGAUUAUAAGCAGAUAUGGUCUUGAAGUGAUGUGAAAUUUUGUUACUAGAUUUUACAUGGAACUAGUAAGAACUCACAAUUUCCACAUACUUCGUACUUUUAAAGAAAGAAAAGGAAAACACCAACUCCAAUUUAAUAGCAUAUUGGAUGUCAACCUAUGUUUUAUUUGUUGUAGGAUAAAUUUGAGAGCGAUGACAUGAAUAUUCAUCGCGAUCAUAUUUUGGGAUGGAUGAAAGAAUUAUGGAACAAAUGGAGAGGAAAAUUACCCAAAAAGUACGUGAAGGGCUAAGUAAGAUUAUUUAUCAAAUAAAGCUAAGUUAAAGAUGCUUCAUCAUAGUGGUAGCAAGGCCAUUAGAGAGAUUAGUUAUCAAAAGGUGUUAUCAUUAAUCAUAAUUUUUUAUAAUAUUGACGAGCCAUCAUUUGACAUGUUUACUUUUAUGUAAAGGGUGGAAAAGAUGGAAACCCACCAGAUUUGGGAACUAUUUUCUUUGAGAAUCGCAAGAAGAAUAACUCACUUGUCGAUUCAAAAUCAAUCGAGAAACAUGCUCAAAUUCAAGAACUGGUGCACUCUGAACCGUCUCUUCCUAGCAUAGAGGUUGUAAAAAAAUGCUUUGGACCUCAAACUCGUAGCCAUGUAUUUGGCUUUGGAGGUGGAGUAAAGGCGAAAGAUUUCAAAGGUUGGACUUCUUCAAAGGCUGAGUUGUUGUCUGAGCUACGUUCAACUCAAGCAGAAAAUCAAUCUUUGAAAGAUCGUUUGUCUAACUUUGAAACUGAGAUGAAAGAAAUGAAGCAAUUAAAAGAGUUGUUAUUAGCUCAACAAAUUUCCAAUCUCCGACAUCAUCUAUUUUAGGAGAGUGACUGUUCCUUUGAUGAUACCAAGUUAUGGAAACUGAAGUUUACGAGAAGCAGAUCUUUCAGGACGUACAGAUUGACUAUCAUUUUGCUAUGGAUAUUAGCUAUAUAGGUUUUAUGCUCAGGGUUAUGUACGAGAUACUAUGAUGACUAGCAUACAUCAUUGAUGUAUGGUGUCAAAUGUUGAUCAUUUUUGUAUAUAUAUAUAGAUUAUAUCAUUUUGUUACCAGAUAUUUCUUGUUGGAAAUUAUUUGAUUUUUGGACCAGUAAAAUGUUUCUUUGGGGACGAGACAAGUAGUCCUUAAAUUUUUUGUAGGUGCAGAAAAUCUGGUUGCUAAACCCAUUAUCCUUGCGCUAUUGACAUCAAUUCACGGCCAAAAAUCUAGUCCCUAAAGUAAAUUAUGGACCAGCCUGCAAGUCUGAACAUCCUCACUUACGCACCAAAAAUACGGUCCAUAAAAGUGUUUUAAGGACUAGUAUUAUGGCAGUCGCAAAAACUAUGUAGGACCAGCCACUCAUUCCUGUCGCUAAUGACCUUAAGAGGUGGAGCAUAUAAGGACGAGCUGGCAACCAGAAUUUCUGGCCCCUAUUCACUUUUAGGGAUCAUAAUUCUACUUUUAGAGACCAGUUUUCCCUUCGCUAGUAAGCAGUCUUCUUGUAGUGGUAGUUGUGUUAUUGGAAGGAAAGGGUUGAUAAAUAUACUCUUCGUGUUGAUUGAGAUAGCUUGUAUGUUUCAUGCUAUUGUUGAGUUGAUUUAUCUGAGUCUUGUUAUGA